CAUUUGAUCAGUCUCGUGAUACCUCAAAAUGAUUAAUUCCUCUUCCGACAUCGAUCUCUCGUCUUAUCCUAUACAAUUCUUUUAGGCAGCGUUUGGUUAGAGGAUAGGAAUAGGAAUAGGCCCUUAUCCCCCUUUAUACCCAAACGUUAAUUUUUUAUUCAAGAAUAGUAGUUCUCCGUUAUCCCCACCAACACUUCAUUUUCUAUAUAAAACUAUCUAAAAUUAUUCUUAUCCCCGGGAAUAACUCAAUUUUCAUUCAAACACUAUUUUUCUUAUCUCCAUAUUUGUACCUAUCCCUAUAAUAGCUAGUUCUUACUUAUAUCCGAACCAAACGGUACUUACGGGUGCCGAC
rnacentral:lncRNA from 1 species